rnacentral:rRNA from 1 species
AUUGAACGCUGGCGGCAGGCCUAACACAUGCAAGUCGAACGAGUGGCGGACGGGUGAGUAAUGUCUGGGAAACUGCCUGAUGGAGGGGGAUAACUACUGGAAACGGUAGCUAAUACCGCAUACCAUCGGAUGUGCCCAGAUGGGAUUAGCUAGUAGGUGGGGUAAAGGCUCACCUAGGCGACGCUCCCUAGCUGGUCUGAGAGGAUGACCAGACACAGGGGAACUGAGACACGCUCGAGACUCCUACGGGAGGCAGCAGUGGGGAAUAGUGCACAAUGGGCGCAAGCCUGAUGCAGCCAUGCCGCGUGUAUGAAGAAGGCCUGCGGGUUGUAAAGUACUUUCAGCGGGGAGGCGUUACCCGCAGAAGAAGCACCGGCUAACUCUGUGCCAGCAGCCGCGGAUAC